rnacentral:tRNA from 1 species
GCGCUUGCUGGACCGGCAGUUGCGAGCGCUCGCGGUGCGCGAAGGGUUGGCGUGCUGUGCUACCCGUCUGGAGAUGCGCC